rnacentral:misc_RNA from 1 species
GGUCCAAAAAGGCCGGAGAUGCUCAAAUCCUAUUUCAAGCCAAGGCUUCGAUUGACCAUUGUAAUGAAUGACAGCAGCCUUCUUCACAUUCUCAACAUUGGUAUUAUUCUGAUAGCCCAAGCCAAGCAUGUGCCACGACGGGUCAAUAGGAUGAACAUGACCUUUGAAUGCAAUCAAAGCAGGAGGGAGUGUUCCAAGUUUCCACAUUGUUAAGUUAGACUUCAGAUUCUCUUUAAGCCACGAAUGAUAACUAUCUCUUAUACUUGUCUUUCUCCAUGCACGCAAGUCAAAUAUAUUCAUCCCAUAAGCCCAUGCA